rnacentral:rRNA from 1 species
AGCGAACGCUGGCGGCAUGCCUAACACAUGCAAGUCGCACGGGGGGGCUUCGGCCUCCCAGUGGCGGACGGGUGAGGAACGCGUAGGGACCUGUCGAGGGGUGGGGGAUAACCGCGGGAAACUGCGGCUAAUACCGCAUGACGCCGCGGCGUGACAGCCGGGGCCAAAGGCGAAAGCCGCCCGCCGAGGGGCCUGCGUCCGAUUAGCUGGUUGGCGGGGUCGCGGCCCACCAAGGCGUCGAUCGGUAGCUGGUCUGAGAGGGUGAUCAGCCACACCGGGACUGAGACACGGCCCGGACUCCUACGGGAGGCAGCAGUGGGGAAUAUUGGACAAUGGGCGCAAGCCUGAUCCAGCAAUGCCGCGUGGGUGAAGAAGGUCUUCGGAUUGUAAAGCCCUUUCGGCGGGGACGAUGGUGACGGUACCCGCAGAAGAAGCCCCGGCUAACUUCGUG